rnacentral:rRNA from 1 species
UACGUAGGGUGCGAGCGUUGUCCGGAAUUAUUGGGCGUAAAGAGCUCGUAGGCGGUUUGUCGCGUCGACUGUGAAAACCCGAGGCUUAACCUCGGGCCUGCAGUCGAUACGGGCAGACUAGAGUUCGGUAGGGGAGACUGGAAUUCCUGGUGUAGCGGUGAAAUGCGCAGAUAUCAGGAGGAACACCGGUGGCGAAGGCGGGUCUCUGGGCCGAUACUGACGCUGAGGCGCGAAAGCCAGGGGAGCAAACGGG